rnacentral:rRNA from 1 species
UGAGGAAUAUUGCGCAAUGGGCGAAAGCCUGACGCAGCAACGCCGCGUGGAGGACGAAGGCCUUCGGGUCGUAAACUCCUUUUCUGGGGAACGAGCAAGGACGGUACCUCAGGAAUAAGUCUCGGCUAACUACGUGCCAGCAGCCGCGGUAAAACGUAGGAGGCGAGCGUUAUCCGGAUUUACUGGGCGUAAAGCGCACGCAGGUGGCUUCGUAAGUCGGACAUGAAAGCUCCUGGCUUAACUGGGAGAGGUUGUUCGAUACUGCGGGGCUUGAGGUUGGGAGAGGGACGUGGAAUUCCCGGUGUAGUGGUGGAAUGCGUAGAUAUCGGGAGGAACACCAGUGGCGCAAGCGGCGUCCUGGCCCACACCUGACGCUGAGGUGCGAAAGCGUGGGGAGCAAACAGG